rnacentral:lncRNA from 1 species
GAUCCCAUUGGACGGCCGGACAGAGGCCACGCCCCUCCGGAAUGCGGGCGCUGCCGCUUCUCCUCCCGAAUUCCUUGAGGUUCCAGGGUGCAGCUGCUCCUCUUCCCCUCCAGGGCGGCCACCGGGCCGCGCGCCCCCUUCGCCCCGCGCUAGUCCUGCUCUAGCCCGCCUGAGGGCAGGAGUCACACUCGCCUCAGAAGCUCUUCUUUCUUCUUGAAAUUAAAUAAACAAAUGAAAACCUUAAAUCGGUGACGUAGGCACAAAAGAGGAAAAGGUGCGCGGAGGUAGCUCAUAGGCUGCAAGCUGCGAUCAAUGAUGAUAUUUUCUCCUGGGACCCUUCAUAAGAAUCUCCAUUUCUGGUGAAAUGCCGUUCAAAGCACGACUGGAAAUCAUGAUGACCACGAGAAGUAAACUUUUUGAAUCAACUCAGGACACUGAGGCAGCCACAACAGCACAACUAAAGACACUCAGGAAAGAGGACCUCAGAGCUUCUGCAGAGAGGACCGUGAGAUGAGCUGUAAGUGAGGGAAGGAUUUUGAGAGAGAUUCAAGGCAAUGUGACCUUAACUGUA